CGACGUGGCUUUUAUAGCCGGCUGGGCGGAGGGGGGGUGGGGCCUGAAGAGGACCAAUGGCCGAGCGCGGGCGUCAGCGCUGACUCAUACGCACGGGGCGCUGACCGUGCUACCGCGUGGCCUGCUGGGAGCUGUAGUCGACACCGCCCUCGGGUGACCGCAGAGUCGCGGCACUGCAUGCUGGGAGUUGUAGUGCGGGGCUCUACAACUCCGGAGUGCACGCCGGGAAGAGAGGGUUCAGUUUUCCGCAGUCAUUGGUAGAUGCCGGGGCUUACGUCACCCCCCCCGCCUCCCUUAUGCCCCUCCCCUCGUCCUCGUCUGACCCGGGGAGGGGCGGACCGCCUGGUCUUCGCUGCAGCUGCAGGCUCAGACACCGAGGGCGUUGCCCAGCAACCGGGGAGAGGGGGGUUGGCCGCGCGCUCUUCGCUCCCGACUGACGUCACGUCCAGCGGGGCAAGGGGCGUGUGAGAAGCGGAAGGCUGUGGCCGCACAUUGGGCCGGGAAAUGUGAGGAGACGGCCCGUGGCACCAUAGCUCGGCGAGGGGCAGGGGCUUCCUUGGGGGCGGCCUUUAAGGGCCCGGCUGAAGACUUGGGGUAGAGAUAAUCAUUUUGAAUGCAGACUGACCUGCUUCUGAAAUCAGAAUAUCUGGAAGAAGGAAUACAGUGACACAACAAGCACAGCAAGGAGUGAGGAGUGUUCAUGGCUCCCCAGCAACAGCUACAAGGUCAUUCUUGCACUACCACAAGAAAUCAAAUCUAUUUUGCUGCACAUCCAGAAGAUUUAGGAAUAUGGACAGCAUUUUCAGGCAUAGUAACUUGAGAAACUCUUCACUCCAGCAACUACAGCUUAUCUGCCAAGGGAGAGGCCACUGCCCAGCACCUGGAAGCUGCCCAACCACUUUCAGGCACUGCAGGGAUCAUCCAGGUAGCCACCAGGUCCCCCCUGAGCCUGCACUUUUCCAGACUGAAGAGUCCCAAGGGAGGAGUGGCAGCUGCCCCAGGACAGCUACAAGGAGCUGAGGCAACUGUGGGCCUCCAUCAAUACUGCCAUCCAGGAAGAGUGCAGGGUGUUGCAGCAGCUCUUGGCUGCCAUCCCCACCCCAGCUGCCCCUGCCAUUGUGCCCCAGCCCAUGCCAGCCCCAGCACAGGCACCAGGUCCCCCUGGCCAGCCCAUGACCCCACCACCAGGGGCAGGGCCCAGCUGGAAGUAUUAUGCCUGGCUGGUGGCUCAGCUGGCACCUCAGCAGGGACCACGGCGUCUGCUGCAGAGAAGCAUUGCUCCUGCUUCUCCGUUUCCCAAUCCUGGGCCUGAAUGCAGCAUCUGCCUCUGAGGAGGAGCACCCAGCCUCCUCCCCAGAGCAGCUGGGGCCCCAGCCACGUCAGCAUGGCCCCCACACGUAGGGUGGUCGCACACAGGGCCAAGGCCUGGGUCAGGGCCAAGGGGCUGCGAACCCCUGAUUCCCUUCUAACUGCACCUCCUCCCCUGGUGUUUCCCUCACUCCUAAGGACCCUUUUUCUUGCUUCUGAUGCUUGUGUGAAUAGUUGCCAUUUAUUUCUGGUUUUGAAUGGGUUUGUGCAUGGGUGGGGGCUGGGUGCAUGGUGGUGAGGUUGUGGAGGGUCUCAUGUGAAGUACUGUUGGUGUUGGAGAGAAGG